AGCUUUGUGAGUAAUCUUCCCCACAGGCGGCAAGGAAGGUUCUGUGGACCAGACCCGUCAGAGAAGACAGUUCGCCUGGCCAGGUUUUAGGGAGAAGGAAAGAAGAAUCGAGGUUCCUGAAAGAGACCGUGAUCACCUCUUCCUGGAACACUGCUGCUCCUCGGGCAUCACAGCUACACUCCAUUCCGCCAGACACUAACAGAAGAAUCCAAGGAAAUGCUGAGUAAGCAGGAAGCAGUUGACUUGCCGAAGGUCACCAACACCAAAUGGAACAGGUGGAAGUCAAACCAAACCUUGUUCUGCUGUCUGUGACUCCCAACCUCCAGUUCCACCUCUUUCCUCCAUGUGAUCCUCUCUUAGCGAAUUGUCCAAAGGUACCAGUCCUGGGGAACAGAGUGGCGUCCAGGGGAAAGACUAAGA